rnacentral:rRNA from 1 species
GGGAUUCCCCCAGUAAGGGCGACUGAACCGGGAAGAGCCCAGCGCGUAACCUCGCGUCCCAGCCGGCGCGAGGGGUGUCGCGUUUCGGAGGGUCCGGCACGCCGCGCCACACCGCCUAAGUCAAGCUUGAAAGCGGCCACUACCCGCGGAGGGUGACAGGCCCGUGUGGCGGCGCCCGCGAGGGCAAGGCUGGCGCGGUCGGAAAGGGCCUCUCCGUAGAGUCGGGUUGCUUAAUAAUGCAGCCCAAAGCAGGUGGUAAACUCCAUCUAAGGCUAAAUAUGACCACGAGACCGAUAGCGAACAAGUACCGUGAGGGAAAGUUGAAAAGAACUUUGAAGAGAGAGUUCAAGAGUACGUGAAACCGUUAAGAGCCAAACGGAUGGACCCUCGAAGGUCGAACCUGGGGAUUCAGCUCGUCGGCCGCCGGCCGGGCGCGGGUGUUCGUUAACUCGUAGCGACCCGAGAGAGCUCGGGCGCGCUCGCGUCCGUUCGCCGGCGUCGGCGGGCGUAUUUCCCCUGGUAGUAGGGCGCCGCGACCCGUCGCUGGGGACGUCCAAGGCUCCGGCGGACUGGUACCCCGCCUCCGACCGGGCGCCCUCCGUGGCGUUUUUCCGGCGGGGCGGGCGAAACCGCCGGGCGACCUGGCUGCCCUGCGACGGUCGUAGAGACGAGCCCUCCCCUCCGCGGGCGGGCUCUCGCGGCGUGCAAAAAGAUCGGUGCUCCAUCCGACCCGUCUUGAAACACGGACCAAGGAGUCUAACAUGUGUGCGAGUCAGUGGGCGCACUAAACCCAAAGGCGUAAUGAAAGUGACAGGCCCGGCGGCCGCGUCGUGUUCGCACGGCGCGGCCGUCGGCGCCGGGGCCGAUCCCCCGCCGGCUGCCUGCGGCCGUCCCCUUGCGUCCCGGCACUGCCAGGUGAGCCAGUUUCCCUGGCCCCUGCCGGGUCGCUGUCCGCGGGGGCGGCCGGAGCGCGAGGGCGCGUGAGACAUUCAUCCUGUUCGCAGGGGGGCGCAGGCCCGGGACUUGCCAGGACGCCGCAGCCGCGCGCCGCCGCCAGGCCUCGCGCCGAGCGGCGGCCGCACCCGCGUGCAGUCGGCAAGUACCACGAGCAGACAUGUUGGGACCCGAAAGAUGGUGAACUAUGCCUGGCCAGGAUGAAGCCAGAGGAAACUCUGGUGGAGGUCCGUAGCGAUUCUGACGUGCAAAUCGAUCGUCUGAGCUGGGUAUAGGGGCGAAAGACUAAUCGAACCAUCUAGUAGCUGGUUCCCUCCGAAGUUUCCCUCAGGAUAGCUGGAACUCGCAGGAUGAAUUUCAUCCGGUAAAGCGAAUGAUUAGAGGUCUUGGGGACGAAACGUCCUCAACCUAUUCUCAAACUUUAAAUGGGUGAGAUGCCGAGCUUGCUUGAACGCUGAAGCUUCGGCGAUUAAUCUGAGUGUCUAGUGGGCCAUUUUUGGUAAGCAGAACUGGCGCUGUGGGAUGAACCAAACGUCGAGUUAAGGGGCCUAAAUGAAUGCUCAUUCAGAUCCCAUCGAAAGGCGUUGGUUGCUAUAGACAGCAGGACGGUGGCCAUGGAAGUUGGAAUCCGCUAAGGAGUGUGUAACAACUCACCUGCCGAAGCAACUAGCCCUUAAAAUGGUAUGGCGCUCAAGCAUUCUCCCGAUACUCGACCGCCGGGGCACUAGCGGCCACGCUCCAGAGGCGAGGUCUCGAGGCCCCGGUGAGUAGGAGGGUCGCAGUGGUGAGCGCUGAAGGGAUCCGGCGCGAGCCGGCCUGGAGCCGCCACUGGUGCAGAUCUUGGUGGUAGUAGCAAAUACUCGAGAGAGACUCCCUUGAAGACCGAAGUGGAGAAGGGUUCCAUGUGAACAUCAGUUGGACAUGGGUUAGUCGCUCCUAAGCCCAAGGCUAAGGCCUGAUCCCACGCUAGCGGCAACGGCCAACCGACGUGUGUGUGUGUGUGUGCGCGCGGGGGCGCGGGGACGCCUGCCUCGCGGCGGGCGGCUCGCGCCCCCGUCGCUUGCUGGCCGUGCAGAGGGGUGGGCCGCGGUGCGUGCGUGUGAGGGCGGUGGCCGUCUGUGCUCUCGCCCCACCACCGCCGCCCGCGACGCCUCUCUGGGGCCGAGAACGCUCUUGUGGUGUUGCCCGGGAUUAGUGGCGAAAGGGAAUACGGUACUUAUUCCGUAACCAGGACUCGGAUACCAAGCAGGCGCAAGCGCCCGCAACGGAAUGCUGCCCUGUGGAGGACCCCGGUAACGGGAACCAGCUCGCGUCCGCCGGCGGUGGUCCGGGAAAGAGUUUUCUUUUCUGUUUAAGGCGCCGUGACCCUGGAAGCCAUUCGCAGAGAGAAAGGG